rnacentral:tRNA from 1 species
GGGCUAUAGCUCAGUUGGGAGAGCACCUGGUUUGCAACCAGGGGGUCGUCGGUUCGAUCCCGGCUAGCUCC